CACGGGGGGAGCAAGCGUUGUUCGGAAUCACUGGGCGUAAAGGGCGUGUAGGCGGUCCAGUUAGUGGGAUGUGAAAUGCCCCGGCUCACCCGGGGACCUGCAUCCCAAACUGCUGGACUUGAGUACGGGAGAGGAUGAGGGAAUUCCUGGUGUAGCGGUGAAAUGCGUAGAUAUCAGGAGGAACACCGGUGGCGAAGGCG
rnacentral:rRNA from 1 species